UUGAGCUCUCCGCCUCUCCCCCCGUCUCCUCUCGCCGUCGAGCUCUCCCCCCGUCUCCUCUCGCCGUCGAGCUCUCCCCCCGUCUCCUCUCGCCCUCGAGCUCUCUGUCCCCUGUCUCCUCUCGCCCUCGAGCUCUCCCACCCCGUCUCCUAUCGGCCUCGAGCUCUCACUCCCCCGUCGCUUGUCGUCCUCGAGCUCUCGCACCCUCCACUCUCGUCGCUGGUGAGGAUCUCAAUCCUUCAGGGUGCGUCAAAAGCUAUGGCUGACAUGGUCUCUGAGGUUGCUGGUCAGGGGGCUAGGCCUGCUCUUAGGUGGACUGCUGUAAUGUCUGGGUUUGUUCUCCGUCGUUUUGUUGACUUGAUAGGAAAUGGGGUUAAGACUGACAAAGGUUUUAAGGAAAUCCACCUUAACUCUGUUGCUAAAAAUGUAUCUGAGUUCUGUGGCCAAGAAGUAACAGGCCAACAAGUGUACAAUCACCUUCGUAAGUGGAGGUCUAGGUGGGUCAAGGUUUGCAAACUGAAGGACAUUAGUGGCGCUCUUUGGGAUGAGGAUAACUUUGUCAUAAGCUUAGAAGAGGGUCAUUAUGCUGCUUACAUCAAGGGGAAGACUGUUGACAAGGGUACCCCUGGUGAGUCCAAUGAUAACAAGCCCAACUUAGGGAAGAGGAAGAGGUUCAUGACUGAUGAGGAUGUUGCUGUGUUCAAUGGGAUGAAACAAGCUGUUUCAGAUGUUGCUGCUGCUGUCCGUGAAAGCAUCCAUGCUGAAGCAGCACCUGGGAUCUACAAUGCUGUAAUCAAUUGUCCUGGGUUCUCUAGGGAGGCUCUCAUGUAUGCCCUAAACCACAUGAUGGAGCACAAGGCCACCUCCCUGGUGUUCCUGGACAUGACUCCUGAUGAUCGUGACCUAUGGCUCAAGACUUUCCUAGCCAAGCACUACCACAACUGA
rnacentral:misc_RNA from 1 species